rnacentral:lncRNA from 1 species
CUUUUUGGUUAUAGCCUUUCCUUUAGCUUGUCUGUCAUGGGAUUCAGUUAGGAAUUUCUUGAUUUUAUCAGAUGGAAUAGCAAAGGAGAUCCCAGCUGUAACUUUUAGCGUGUUAAUUCCAAUGACUUCACCAUCCAGGUUUACUAAGGGUCCUCCAGAGUUUCCAUAAUUGAUGAUGGCGUCCGUCUGAAUGUAGUCCAUAUCGGAGUUGCGGAGCCCCAGCUCCUUCCCUCCGCGCUGCGUGGUGCUGACGAUCCCCGUUGUCACUGUGUUUUGGAGGGAAAAUGGACUUCCAAUGGCAACCACAAACUCUCCCGGCCUCAAGUCUCCAGACUGACCAAGCAGAAGGACUGGCAAUUUACCCUGAGCAUCUAUUUUAAUUAGUGCAAUGUCAGCUUUCUCAUCAACGUCUUUAAUUUUAGCUUCGUAUGUUUCUCCAUUCUUCAGCUCCACCUUCACCCUGUUCUUGUUGGUGACCACGUGUGCGUUGGUCACUAUCAGCCCAUCCUCCGAGACAAUGAAGCCCGACCCACUGGCAACAGGGAUCUCUCUCUUGGAGUAAGGAAGUUUGCGGAAUAACUCGAUGUGAACCACAGCAGGAGCAAUCUUCUCCACCACAUCUGCUAUAAAGUUGUACUUGUGCCGCAAGCUAUUAGGGUGUUCUUGGCCCUGCCCGCAGCCUCCGCGCUGGAUGGCGAUGAUGGGCGGCUGCCGGAGCCUCUCGGCGCGGCGGCUGGCGGCCCGCAGCUGGCAGGGGCUGGCGUAGGUCACGGCGUCGCUGCCGCACACGGGCUCGGAGCUGGCGCACACGCAACGCCCGACGGCCGCCCGCUUCCUCACCGUGCCCGAAGCGGGCACCCCUCCGCCGGGCGGCACCGAGCAGCGCAGCCCUUCCCCGCACGGCGGGCCGCCCUCGCCGACCCCGCACGGCUCUCCCUCCUCCGCCCCGCAGACGCGGCAGCAGCCGCACGCGUCCAGCACGGGGCCGCCGGGGCAGGAGGAGGGCAGCGGGGGGCAGCGGGAGCGAUCGCAGCGCUCGGGGCAGGCGGGCGGCGGGGGGGCGGCGAGCAGCAGGGCGGGCAGCACGGCGAGCAGCAGAGCGCUCCGACACCACGGCGGC